UUGAGAGUUUGAUCCUGGCUCAGAACGAACGCUGGCGGCAGGCUUAACACAUGCAAGUCGAACGCCCCGCAAGGGGAGUGGCAGACGGGUGAGUAACGCGUGGGAAUCUACCCAGCUCUACGGAAUAACUGAGGGAAACUUCAGCUAAUACCGUAUACGUCCUUCGGGAGAAAGAUUUAUCGGAGUUGGAUGAGCCCGCGUUGGAUUAGCUAGUUGGUGUGGUAAUGGC
rnacentral:rRNA from 14 species